GUUCCAGCAACUCUGUGUGUACCAGGCAGAAAUGCAGUGUUUAUCUCUGAGAGGCAAGCAUUCUUACGCUCAUUGGCAUGAGCAUCCACGCUGAACUGGCUGUCGGGGAAGUAGGUUCCUGCAUGGGAAAGUCAAGGCAGUGACACACCAAGAAUAAGAGGAGCUGGCUGCAGCCCUGUCCGUGUGUGUCUGCUGGCUCGCCCUCCUGUCUGGCAUCUCCACGCCCUUCCUCUUCCGGAUUCCCUUGCAUGAGCUUCCAAGCAGAAUGAACUGUCCUUCCAAAUAUGACCCUAACUCAUUCAACAGCUGGAACGAGAGCAAACUAGAGCUCACGCGAAUGGUUCUCUGGAAGAACAUAGAGCCACCUUACAUGUGAGGGAAUGAGAGCUUGCUUUGAAGAGCUGGACUUUCUCCUUUUACUUACCCUUGAAAUUGUUUCACUCUGAUCUCCAAAUCAAAGAAGUGACCUACUACACAUUUAGUCAAAAUCUGUUUGUGCAAAUAAGAUUUCUAAUCACUUAAGGCAAGAGACUCAAGUCUGGUUCUCCUAGAAGUUCCUACCGCAUGGCACAGCCCACACCAGACAAUGAAAGAAUGUGGAUUAUGCUAAACGGAACCCUAACACCUAGUACACAGUAUCCCCACUAUGUAGAGCUGAUCAUGAGGGAGAGGAGAAAAAAUUUGCAUUGGACCAAAUCACUGCCUUAGAAAAAAAACCAGAUUGCAAUCCCAUCCAUUUUUCUUGAAAGGUGGACAUAUGACUGCUUUGGACCAAUGAGGCUCAGGUGGUAUUUUGUGAGGAUUUCUGGAAUAGAAAAUCAUUUCUCUUCUGACAGAACUACCAGGUAAGAUGUAAUCACUGAUGGUGAAAGAUAAAGAUCAUUAUAUUAAGAACUGUUGGCUGUCAUACUGCUAGUGUGAGGUGAGCUAGCCUCAGGAAGACGAUGCUACCUUGAAAGGCAGGGUAGACAUAUGGAAAGAAACUGACUUUGUGGUGACACUGAUGAGCUAUUUAGUUGAUCAGCUGAAUCCCAAACUACUUGUUUGUUUCAGCUCUGUAAGCCAACACAUUUCCUGAGUGUUUUAGCCUGUUUCAGUUUUUUUUUUCUGCUGUUUGUUAAUGAGAGGUUUCUAACACCUACAGUUCUAGACAAAUUAUAUAGAAAUCUGAAUCUUUGCCCAGGCACAGUGGCUCACGCCUGUAAUCUCAGCACUUUGGGAGGCUGAGGUGGGUGGACCACCUGAGGUCGGGAGUUGGCGACAGUCUGGCCAACAUGGGGAAACCCUGUCUCUACUAAAAAUACAAAAUUAGCCAGGCAUGGUGACACAAGUCUGUAAUCCCAGCUACUUGGAAGCCUGAGGCAGGAAAAUCACUUAAACCCAGGAGGCAGAGUUUGCAGUGAGCCGAGAUUGUGCCACUACACUCCAGUCUGGGAGACAGAGCAAGACUCUGUCUCAAAAAACAAAGUCUGAAUAUUUGAACGUUUUCAUAUAGCUUUUUAAAAGACUAGAUUAAGUUAUAGAUGUAAGCACCAAUGCAUUUUUUAAAGUAUGUUGCAUGAAUGAUUAAAGACUAAGUGAAUUCAGCAAGUUUGUAACCCUUGAGCUUUGUGAGUUCAAUCUGCCCUCAGUCAUCUGACAAUUACCCAAACAGACUCAACCAUUUUGUGUCAUCAAGGUGAAUAGAAAGGACCUGAAGAUAUUCUUUUUUAUAUUUUUUGCAAUAGUUCCUAGCGUUUUUAUCUGUUGAGUUUUUGAGUGUGCUUGUUAUGGCUUUAAUGCUAAACUCAAUGCAAGCUGGGUUUAUGUAAUUCAGUGGUUUCUAAACAUAGGCUUCCUAAAUGUUCCAUUACACAAGAAGACAAAAUAUAAAACAAAAUAACAUCAAACUACCAUUAACCAUUAUUAUUGUCAGAGUCAGUAAAAACUGCUUUGAGAUAAAGCAGCUUUUCAGCCCAGUAUUUGAGAACUAUUCAUAGAGUUUUUAUGCAGGCAAUAAAUGAAGUGUUUUGGAACAAAUUUGGAUUUAGACUUUCAAGACCAACCUGAACUGGAAUCUUCAAUCUGCACCUUUGCUAGCUGUGGCUUCUUUUUAAUUGAUUAACUUUCUCUGGAUCCUGUUUGGUUUUCUGUAAAAUGGGAAUAAUGACUCUUACCUCCUACAAGUGUUGUGAUAGUAGGUAUUCCAAAUGAAAUAAAUAUGUAAAAUCACUCUAAAACUUCCAGAAUACAUGGAAAUACUUAUAAUUUGCCAAUACAUAUAGUCUGAAGUUGAUGUGGGAUGCUUGAGCUUAGAGAGGGGAGGGGCAUCUGCCAUUAUUGAGGCAUGAGUAGGUGGUUCUCCCCUCAGUGUAAACAAAGCUGCCAGGAAGUUCAAACUGGGUAGAGCCUACCACAGCUCAGCAAAGCCACUGUAGACAGACUGCCUCUUCAGAUUCCUCCUCUCUAGGCAGGAAAUCUCUGAAAGAAAGGCAGUAGCCCCAGUCAGGAACUUACAGCUAAAACUCAUCUCCCUGGGACAGAGCACCUGGGAGAAGGGGCGGCUGUGGGCACAGCUUCAGCAGACUUUAAUGUCUCUGCCUACCAGCUCUGAAGAGAGCAGUGGAUCUCCCAGCACAGCACUAGAACUCUGCUAAGGGAUGACAGAUUGACUCUUCAAGUGGGUCCUUGACCUGCAUGCCUCUUGACUAGGAGACACCUCGCAGCAGGGAUGGACAGACACCACAUGUAGGAGAGCUCCAGCUGGCAUGUGGCAGUGCCCCUCUGGGAUGAAGCUUCCAAAGGAAGAAAUGGGCAGCAAUCUUUGCUGUUCUGCAAGCUCCACUGGUGAUAUCCAGGCAAACAGGACCUGGAGUAGACCUCCAGCAAACUUUAGCAGACCUGUAGCAGAGGGGCCUGACUGUUGGAAGGGAAACUAAUAAACAGAAAGGAAAAGCAUCAACAUCAGCAAAAAGGACAUCCACACAAAAACCCCAUCUGAAGGUCACCAGCAUCAAAGACCAAAGGUAGAUAAAUCCACGAAGAUGAGGAAAAACCAGCAUAAAAAGGCUGAAAAUUCCAAAAACCAGAAUGCCUCUUCUCUUUUAAAGGAUCACAACUCCUCACCAGAAAAAGCACAAAAUUGGACAGAGAAUAAGUUUGACAAAUUGACAGGAGUAGGCUUCAGAAAGUGGGUAAUAACAAACUUUUUGAGAUAAAGGAGCAUGUUCUAAAACAAUGCAAGAAAGCUAAGAACCUUGAAAAAAGGAUAGAGAAAUUUCUAACUAAAAUAACCAGUUUAGAGAAGAACACAAAUGACCUGAAGGAACUGAAAAACACAGUAUGAGAACUUCAUGAAGCUUACACAAGUAUCAAUAGCCAAAUUGGUCAACCAGAAGAAAGGCUAUCAGAGACUAAAGAUUAACUUAAUGAUAGAAAGUGUGAAGACAGGAUUAGAUGAUAAGGAAAAGGAACAAACAAAACCUCCAAGAAAUAUGAGACUAUGUGAAAAGACCAAACCUACGUUUGAUUGGUGUACCUGAAAGUGACAGGGAGCAUGGAACCAAGUUGGAAAACACUCUUCCGGAUAUCAUCCAGGAGAACUUCCCCUACCUAGCAAGGCAGGCCAAUGUUCAAAUUAGGAAAUACAGAGAACACCACAAAGAUACUCCUUGAGAAGAGCAACCCUGAGAUACACAAUCAUCAGAUUCACCAAGGUCGAAAUGAAGGAAAAAAUGUUAAGGGAAUCCAGAGAGAAAGGUUGCGUUACCCACAAAGGGAAGCCCAUUAGACUACACUACAAGUUAGAAGAGAGUAGGGGCCAAUAUUCAACAUUCUUAAAGAAAAGGACUUUCAACACAGAAUUUCAUAUCCAGCCAAACUAAGCUACAGAAGCAAAGGAGAAAUAAAAUCCUUUAGAGAUAAGCAAAUGCUGAGAGAUUUGUCACCACUAGGCCUGCCUUACAAGAGCUCCUGAAGGAAGCACUAAAUAUGGAAAGGAAAAACCAGUACCAGCCACUGCAAAAACAUACGAAAUUGUAAAGACCAUUGACAUUAUGAAGAAAUUGCAUCAAUUAAAGGGCAAAAUAACCAGCUAGCAUUAUAAUGACAGGAUCAAAUUCAUACAUAACAGUAUUAACCUUAAAUGUAAAUGGUCUAAAUGCCCCAAUUAAAAGACACAGACUGGCAAAUUGGAUAAAGAGUAAGGCCCAUCAGGGUACUGUAUUCAGGAGACCCAUCUCAUGUGCAAAAUACACAUAGGCUUAAAAGAAAGAGAUGGAGGAAUAUUUAUCAAGCAAAUGGAAAGCAAGAAAAAAAAAGCAGGCAUUGCAUUUCUAGUCUCUGAUUAAACAGACUUUAAACCAACAAAGAUCAUAAAAGACAAAGAAGGGGAUUACAUAAUGGUAAAGGGAUCAAUACAACAAGAACUAUCCUAAAUAUAGAUGCACCCAAAAUGGGAGCAUCCAUAUUCAUAAAGCAAGUUCUUAGAGACCUACAAAGAGACUUAGACUCCCACACAAUAAUAUUGGGAGACUUUAACACCCCACUGUCAAUAUUAGACAGAUCAACAAGACAGAAAAUUGACAAGCAUAUUCAGGACUUUAACUGAGCUCUGAACCAAGAUAACUCAAUAGACAUCUACAGAACUGUCCACACCAAAUCAACAGAAUAUAAAUUCUACUCAGCACUGCAUUGCACUUAUUCUAAAAUUGACCAUGUAGUUGGUAGUAAAACACUCCUGAGCAAAUGCAAAAGAACAGACUUCGUAACAAACAGUCUCUCAGACCAUAGUGCAAUCAAAUUAGAACUCAGGAUUAAGAAAUUCACUCAAAACCACACAACUACAUGGAAACUGAACAAUGUUCCUGAAUCACUAUUGUUAUCUAGGAACAAUGUUCCUAAAUAACAAAAUUAAGGAUGAAAUAAAUAAGUUCUUUGAAACCAUAAUGAAGAUACAACAUACCAGAAUCUCUGGGACACAGCUAAAGCAGUGUUUAGAAGGAAAUUUACAGCACUAAAUGCCCACAGGAGAAAGCAGCAAAGAUUUAAAACUGACACCAAACAUCAAAGAUAAAAGAACUAGAGAAGAAAGAGCAAAUAAAUUCAAAAGCAAGCAGAAGAUAAGGAAUAACUAAGAUCAGAGCAGAACUGAAGGAGACAGAGAUACAAAAAUCCCUUCAAAGGAUCAAUGAAUCCAGAAGCUGGGUUUUUUUAAAAAAGAUCAAGAAAACAGAUAGACCACUAGCCAGACUAAUAAAGAAGAAGAGAGAAGAAUCAAAUAGACACAAUAAAAAAUGAUAAAGGGGAUAUCACCACCGAUCCCACAGAAAUACAAACUACCAUCAGAGAAACUAUAACCACAUCUACAAAAAUAAACUAGAAAAUCUAGAAUAAAUGAAUAAAUUCCUGGACACAAAAACCCUCCCAAGACUAAACAAGGAAGAAGUUGAAUCCCGGAAAAGACCAAUAACAAGUUCUAAAAUUGAGGCAGUAAUUAAUAGCUCAGCAACCAAAAAAGCCCAGGACCAGAUGGAUUCAAGCCAAAUUCCACCAAAGGUAGAAAGAGGAGCUGAUACCAUUCCUUCUGAAACUCUUCCAAACAAUAAGAAAAGAAGGACUCCCCCUGACUCAUUUUAUGAGGCCAGCAUCAUCAUGAUACCAAAAUCUGGCAAGACACAACAAAAAAGAAAAUUUCAGGUCAAUAUCCCUGAUGAACAUCCAUGUGAAAUACUCCGUAAAAUACUAGCAAACCAAAUCCAGCAGCAUACCAAAAAGCUUAUCCACCACAAUCAAGUCAGCUUCAUCCUUGGAAUGCAAGGCUGGUUCAACAUAUGCAAAUCAAUAAACAUAAUCCAUCACAUAAACAGAACCAAUGACAAAAACCACAUGAUUAUCUCAAUAGAGGCAGAAAAAGCGUUUGAUAAAAUUCAAUACCCCUUCAUGCUAAAACUCUCAAUAAACUAGGUAUUCAUGGAAUGUUUCUCAAAAUAAUAAUAACUAUUUAUGACAGACCCACAGCCAAUAUCAUACUGAAUGGGAAACACUGAAAGCAUUCCCUUUGGUCAAUUUGUCAUGGAGAGCUUCCAACAAAUUUUUAGGAGUGGGUUAAGGUACAGAUGAUGUAAAAGGAGGAGUAGAGGUACUGGAAGUGAGUUAUCUGCUAAGCCACUUACCCAAGGAGGCCUUCCAGCUCUCCUUAAACAUGUGAGGUGGUGAUUGGCCUCCCUGCUUCCUGGCCUAUACCUCUGCUGUCCAAUACAGCAGCCAGUAACUUGGCACAUGCUGCCCCUAAGCUCUUGAACCUGGCUUGUCUAAAUUGAGAUGUGUUGGAGUUAUAAGAUAUAUGUCAUACUUUAGACUCAGUACAAAAAAGUCAUAAGAUAGUUCAAUCAUUUUAAUUGAUUAUUUUCACUGGAGAGAUCUGAUGAAGCUGAGAAUUCUGCUUACAUUGUAAUCCAACAACCCACUGGAUUUGUCUCUUCUACUGAUAUUCGCCUGCUAGAGAUGAGAUUCCUCCAGGGUGAUCAUUGAAAUACUAUGGUUUGUUACUGUGAUUAAAUAGAGAAUUUAUAGCUUUGUACCUGUCAUUGUUUUUAAGUUCUUUAGUACAACUACAAGUGGCCAGCAGUUCUUUCACUUCCUCAGAGUCAUUCCAGUGUUGUGCUUUUCAUGUCUUAUGACCACCGAUUGUUCCACCAAACCUUUGCCUUUAAGGAAGAGACUAGUACAAAAACAAAACAACUCUGCUUUGCAGAAAUCGUUAUUGGUUAUUAUACCACAGUAGAGAGGAAAUGCUUGGGUAAGGAACACCAAUAAUAUGUCAGAAAUGAUCUAAGGUUUGGAAACAGGUUAUUUGGAGAAAUAUUUACUUUCUUAGACAAAAAGUUACAAGAUAUCAUCAUUAAAUUUAAAAUACGUAAUAGGUGUGAAAAUUAGGGGAAUCUUCUGAGCAAGUCUGCAAGUUGUGCAAGUUCUUAGCUCUAUUUCCUAUAAAAUGAAGGGGCUGGACUCGAUGACCAAGAUUCCCUUCCACUCUGUCUUUGAAUUUAUGAUAUUUGAGUUAAAUACUUCAGGGUUAUGUGUAUGCAAAAUACUCUUGAACAAAUUUUCUAAACAUUACAAAACUCAUAAGGAAUUGCUCACAUUUGGUUCCUGUCUUUUAAAUCUUAAUGUACACUAGAACACACCAGCUUUCUAUUCUCAGUCAUAACAUAGCCAUAAAUAGAACAAGUGCUAGAGGCUUAUCACUCAGAGUCUCUGCUGGCAGCGACAGCUUUGUGGAAACAGAAGGGCAUUAAAAUACUAGCAAAAGGCAAAUUCUUCAUUGAGAUUCUUGAUCAGGUUCUACAUCAACAUUCCUGGGAACAACAUCGUUUCCAUCAUCUCCCAUGAUUUUAACAGAUGCCAUUGUCUGAGACGAUAGCCCUUUUGCUUUCUUUCUUUUAUUUCUCCCUACAUGCAUAGUCAAAUGCAAUUUUGAAAAUUUAAGUCAUCAUCUGAGGGCCUGAAAUUAUAAUCGUCUUAUUCUCUUUUAUUCAAGAGUAGAGGUUACUUUGUUCAAGAGUUGUUUUUACUUUAAUCAAAAUGAGGAACUAGCAACUGCAACAUUAGCUAUGUGUGGGGCAUGAUGGCUCACAUCUGUCAUCUCAGAACUUUGGGAGGCCAAGGUGGAUGGAUGGCUCGAGCUCAGGAGUUCGAGACCAGCCUGGGCAACAUGAAGAGACCCCCAUUUCUACAAAAAUUAGCAGGGUGUGUUGGCACACACCUGGAGUCCUAGCUACUCAAGAAGUUGAGAUGGGAGGAUAGCUUGACCUGGAAAGUUAAGGCUGCAGUGAGCCGAGAUUACCCAGGUUGGCGUGCAAUGGUGUGAAAUUUGCCAUAGUUAAAUUCCACAUUUCAAUCUGAUUGGAUUUCAGUCUAACUCUGUCUUAUGAAAGUUAUCAAGCCAUUUUGGGUAUCUGUUUCCUGGAGCCAUAAAGUGUCUGCUUUUGGAAGGAAAUAGAGGAAAAAAUAUAACUUUUCCUCUCCUUUUGUCCCACUCAAAACAACUGGGACUAGAAUGAAGUUUUAUGAAGAUCAUGCUGAUAUUCUUAUCAGGCUGAAUAAGCCAGGCAAAAUGUAAACCACAGCCAAUGAUCAGAUAUUUUUUUCUCCAUUCCUUAUGUAGGAAGGGAUUCAUUAUUAAAAGUAGCAUAGUGACUGGGCUAAGGCCAUUCUAACUCUUGAAUAAAACACCAUCGGAAAUGUAGAGCCAAGUAAAGUUUUUAUUUUAUUAAUCAUCGGAAAAAGCACGUCAGUGGAAUGAAACACUGAAAAUCGGUGGUUCUAAGUGUUAUCUGGUAUCACAGUCUCCAAGAGACUUGUUAAAACACAGUCUGAUGGGCUUUAAGUCCAGCAAUUCCGAUUCCUCAAGAUGGGGUGGGGCCCAAGAAUUUUUAUUUUUCACAGAUCUACAGGUGCUACUGAUACUAUUGGUUUGGGGAACCUCACUUUGAGAGUAAUUCCCUCAAGGUAUCAUCAUAACAAAGAAUGUGAGUGCUCUACUUGAUCAGUUCUGAACCUAAAAUUUUUAAGAGGGCAAGAGGAUCAAUUUGCAAUCAAACUCUAGAUUACACCCAUACUUUAUCCACCUUCUAGCUCUCCUGCUUUUGGGGGUGGAGGGAAAUGCUGACAGAGUUGAGAUGCAAGAGAUGCUGUUUCAAACAAUUAUAAAUGAAUGCAACUUGCUCAUCACCCUUUUGAAGGAAAUGGGCUUGAAAUCCAAUUCUCCUCAGCAGUCUUCAUUUAAAAACAGCCAGAAAUUACAUGAUUUUAUUCUAACUUUCAUACUCACAGAAAUCUUAGUUUUGUUCCUCUUCCCAUUAGUGGUUUCUAGGAAUCAUCAGCAGAAACCCCUCAAGGAAACAGGUAGUGGCACUAAUCAGACUGAGUAAUAAUACUAGGGUGAAGCCACACAGGGUAGUUUCUGGCCCAAAAGGGAAGCAUCUCUGAGUUAUAAGAAUAUGACAGUGAUCCAGUUGUCAUUCCUGUGUGCCCACCAUGUUCCUAGCAUAUAGCAUAUUAAUGCAUCUUGCACAGGGCUUUGUUAUAUAUCAGGUUCUUAAUAAAGGCUGAAUGAAUGGGUGAAUGAGUGAAUGAAUAAAUGUAAAAAAAAAUCAGUACUAUAAUGUCUUCUAUAGUGAACUUGCUGAGUUGAAGUCUAUAGCAAUAUUCACCUCAACUUCCAUGCUUUACAUCAGCAUCAGCAUUUUGUGAGGAAAGUACAAAUUGUCAUGUCUGCUCCGCUCACAGGAAUGCUUCUAAUGGCUACCUCCAAUUCAUUUUGUAAAUAUCAGUCUUCUUGGUCACAGAGUGGGCAAGACCAAUCAGAAUACCCCAUUUUCCUGCCUACAGUGAUGGAUCCAAUAGGCAGUCAGAUGGCCCAAAGAGGGCCAGUAAUAGUUUUCCCUGGGACAUUUUACAUUGAAAUUUCAUUUUUGUUUUUUUUUUCAAAACAGGGCUUCACUUCCAUUACCAGGCUGGAGUGCAAUGACACAGUCUUGGCUUACUGCAAUCUCUGCCUCCUAGGCUCAAGCGAUUCUCCUGCCUCAGCCUUCUGAGUAGCUGGGACUACAGGCGCCCACCACUACACCCAGCUAAUUUUGUAUUUUUAGUAGAGACAAGGUUUCACCAUGUGGUCCAGUUUGGUCUUGAACUCCUGACCUCAAGUGAUCUGCCUGCCUCGGCCUCCCAAAUUGCUGGGAUUAUAGGCAUGAGCUGCCGAGCCUGGCCUUACAUUGAAAUUUCAAAAGAGAUAUUGCUUUUUCUUUCUUGUCAUAUUGCUUUUAGGCUGUCACCUGGGCAAUUGUCAAGUGGGUAAAUAGAUAUGUAAGUUCAGGAGUCAAAAAGAGAGAGAAUGGUUGAAGCAAAAAGUAAAAAUUUAUGAGUAUGAUGAGGGACUUAUCCCUAAGUCUACUUGCUUCUUUUCCUGGGUUCACAUCUAGAUUAAAGUUUCCAGCCACCCUUGCAAUUUAAAUCUGGUCAUAUAACCAAAUUCUGGCCAGUAUCAUAUGAGGAAAAAUGAUGGAUGCUAUUCUCUGGCCCAUAAAAAUCUCUUGUGCCUGAUCUUUUCACUUUUGGCUCACUUGUUACAAUCAUGUAUGAUAACCUUGAAAGCUAUGAGUUGAAGACAGCAGAACUAAAAAAUAGAAGGAGUCUACAUUUCUCCAUUGAGAGGGUUGUUCACUAACCAAGAACAUUCAGUUUAGAUUUCAUGUCAGUUGGAAAUGUGUCUACUAUGCUUAAUCAUUAUGUAUUUUUGAAUUUAUUUCUUAUAUCAGAUAGCAUUAUUUUAACUAAUAAAGGAAUUAGGGUAUAAAUGCCAUUUAAAGCAUGAGGUUAUAUGACAUCUCCUAGGGAGAGGAGUUAGAGAAGAGAAAUGGUAUGAAGUUUGAGCCCUGAGGCACUUCAACAUUUAAAAAUCAAGAAAAAGAAGGAAAUUGGCAAAGGAGUCUGAGAAGGACUAUGUAAGUGGGUGGGGAAAAAUCAAGGGCACUGUGAUGUUCUUGUAAUAAUGAAGAAAAAUGUCAGAGAAGAAAGGGGUGAUAUGCUAUAUUUAAUCACUGAGAUCUUUUGUUUCUGUACGUUUUUUCAAUUUUAUGAGAUGCUUCAGUAUUUUUCCAAUACAUUUCCUGUUAUUUUUUUUAAGUAAUUUGAGUUAGAGUUUCGCCAACCAAGAGUCCUUGACUAUGGUAGGCACCCUCUACAAUGGACCCAAGAGAUUCCUACCUACUGGUAUUCAUGUCCUCAAUAAUCUCUUCCUGCCCUUGAAUAUAGGCUGAACUUACUAAUAUACUUCUAAUCAAUAGAUUGUCACAGAAGUGAUGGGAUGUCACUUUGAAAUUAGGUUAUAAGAAAAUAGUGACUUCUACCAUUGGUGCACCCUCAUGUGCUCUCUUGGACCAUUCAUCCUGGGAAAAGCCAUUGCUAGGGUGAGAGACAGCCUUGUGUAGAGGCUCAUGUGGCAAGAAACCAAGAACUGCCAGUACCAUGUGAGUGAGCUUAAAACGGAUCUUCCAUCCCAGCUUAACUUUUGGAUGAGAUGUCAGUCCCAGACUACAUCUUGUGAGUAAAACCUCAUAAAAGAUCUCAGCCAAAACCACCAGUGAAGCCAUGUUCAGGUUUUUGAUCUACAGAAACAGUGAGCUAAAGGUUAUUUUUAGCCAUUACAUUUUUAGGGUAAUUUGUUAUGAAGCAAUAGAUAACUAAUGCAUUCACUAAUAUGCUUGAUGAGUAGAGAUAAAUAUUUCCAUUACUUAUACCGAAGUAGUACAAAGCCUAAUAAUAUUUGCUUAUUUGUUCUAUUUGUUUAACCAAUAUUUUUAGACAUUUACUCUAAUACAGCACUGGAUUUAUUAAAGUAUUUUAGAUACUUUUAUAUACUGGAGCUAUUAAAGUAGGUGAUACAGAUCAGGUAUCAGUAAGAAGAUAAUUUAAGAUAAGGAUAGGUCUUAUCAAGAUAAUAAAAAAGAAUAGCGUGAUAUAGAAUUAGGCUUCUCUUUUGAGAGGUCAGGGAAAGAAGGGCUUCCUGAGAAAAGUCAUUUGUGCUGUGAAGUAAAUGAAGGAAUAAACAGCUAUGAAAACAGCAAUGGACAGAGAUUUCCAAGAGAGAAAAUGGUAAGUGUGAAGCCCUGGGCUGGAAAUGAAGCUGCCAUGUUUGAGAAACAAAAAAAAAGCUAGUAUUGCUACUAUGUGAGGAGCAAAGGGAUGAGUGGUCAGAGAUGUGGUUGGGGAGAGUAGACUUUGUAAGAAAAGGUAAGAAGGUUGGAUUUUAUUUCAAAAAACUUACAUUCAAAUUAUGAACAUUAGCACGGAGACAAGACAAUUUGGGAGAUGGACUCUAAGAGCAAUAAACUGAGAGAGCAUGAUAGAAUAAUGAGGAUGCUAGGGCUGCCAAUUUGGAUAGAUCAGUCGGCAUUUGGGGGCUGGGGGGAUUAUAGGAGAACAUAGUCCUAAUGGAUUUUUAAAAAACAAAAAUAUAGAUAUUGGGGAAUGAGGUAUUUUUGGGAGGAAUACAUGCAAAACCUCUGAGGCAGGCGUGAGUUGGAGUCUUUAAAAAACUGAAAGAUGACCAGUAGAUCUGGAGCACAGUGAGCGAAACAGAGCUAUAGCAUAAGGCGAAAGAGGAAUUCAAGCCACACCCUGCAGGUCUUGUAAAACCUGGUUAAGAGCUUGGAUUUUGUUUGAAAAUCAUGUGGAGUCUACUGAAGAAUUAAAGUGCAGAAAUUAUGUUUCAUUUUCCUCAUGGUUACAAUGCAAUGAAAUUGAAUCAAAUACAUACUAAUCUAUUGAACAGCUCCUAAACUGUGUGCAUGGGAAUUAAAGAGGCAUGAGAUGUGCCCCAGGCUUGAGUGGGCACAUAGGCCAAGAUUAGAAAUAGACAGAAGCUCAAAAAUCUACAUAUGCGAAAGUCCAGAGAAGAAAUGGAUCCAUUUAUUCCAUGUGAGUAAUGGCAAGCCUACAGAAGAGAAAACUUUUCAUCUGGAUCUCACAGGAUGAGUGGAGCUCCCUAGGUAAACAAAGAAAGAAGAACCUCAUAAGAAGUAGAAAUAUAUGUGAGAGCAUGGAAUAUCUGGCAGAGCUUGCACUAUCCAGGGAGCGGGAAACAAGUCAAUAUUACUGAGUCCAUGGAGGAAAAGUGAGACGAGAGAGAUAAAGAUUCAGAGGUAGGUCAAGACUUUCAAAUGUUUAGCUUGGAAAGAGUCUUUUAAGACUUAAUGUCAAGAACUGCUACUCAUUGUUCAAUAAUAAACUUUUACUAAGACAUGACUAUGCUCCAUGCAUUCUUUAUUGUGUGAUCACAUUUAUGCUUCACCUAAAAACCAUAUUUUAGAUACAAAAUCUGAGGCUUCUAAAAACAAGAUACUAUGCCUAGAGAUGUACAGUUAUCACAUGGCAAGCUGUGGAAUCAAACUUGUUUGUAUUGUUUCUCUCUGAAGGGUGUGUUUAGAAAGACUGAGUGGAACUUUAUGGUUGGUGAAGGGCUCAUAUGGAGUAGUAGAGAGAGAAAUCGCUGAGGGUAGGCUGAUUCCAAAGGUAGGCUGGAAUCAGACUGAAGAAGGUCACUUUGACUAUGAAGCUUAGGAGCUUGUACUAAAUCUUGAGAAAAUAGGAAUAAAGAUUUUUGAGCAAAAAGUUGACAUGAUUGCAAUCUAGUUUGGAAGAUUGAUGUGGUGUCUGUUUAUACCAAUGCGGAUUACAGGGGAAGAGACUGAAGGAAGAAAAGCCUAUCAAGAAGCUGGCUUAGGUGUAUGAUGAUAUGGGUCUAAACUGAGUGGUAAAAAUAAAAAUGGAAAGAAAGACAGGAAUGAGAGUAAUCUCUCCAAGAAGGAGUCAAUAGGGCUGGUGACCAGUUUAAUAUAGGUAUGGGGAAGGUGAGGUUAUGAAGAGUAAGUCUAAAUAAUUUUAAGAAUGGUGCUAUAAUAAACAGAAUAGGGAAGUUAACAAAAGGACCAGGUUUGAGUGAAGUAAGAAGAAAGAAGACAAAUAUCAACCGUAUAAGUUGGAUUAGAGGCAACAACAUUGGAGAUAAAUGUGUAGCUAGAGAACGGAAGGGGCCUUGCCCAAAAAUAAUGGUUUGGGGUUCAUCUUCAGAGAGGCAGUCAAAAUUCGGAGCGUUGGCUGGGCACCACAGCACACGCCUGGAAUCCCAGCACUUUGGGAUACUGAUGCAGGAGAAUCACUUGAGCCCAGGAGUUCAAGGCCAGCCUGGGCAACACAGUGAAACCCUGACUCUACAAAAAAUUAAAAAAAAAAAUAGCCAGGUAUGGUAGCACGUGCUUAUAGUCCCAGCUACUUGGGAGGCUGAGGCAGGAGGAUUGCUGAAUCCAGAAAGUCAAGCUGCAGCCAGCUGUGACUGCACGACUGCAUUUCAGCCUGGGUGGCAGAGUGACAUCCUGUCUCAAAAAAUAUUAAUUAAUGAUUAAUUUUAAAAAACUUGAGAGUUCAUAGGUUUCUUUUUGUUUGUUUGUUUUUGUUUUGAGAUGGAGUUUCGCUGUUGUUGCCCAGGUUUGAGUGCAAUACUGCGAUCUCAGUUUACCGUAAUCUCCGCCUCCCAGGUUCAAGCAAUUUUCCUGCCUCAGCCUUCCAAGUAGGUGGGAUUACAGGCCUGUGCCACCACAUCCAGCUAAUUUUGUAUUUUUAGUAGAGAUGAGGCUUCUGAGAGUUCAUGAGUUUCUAAAGAAAGACAAAAACAGUAGUGUUACAGAUGCUACUGGUUUCCAACAUCCACUCCCCAUCUUGAACAUCCUAAUCAAAUUCCCAUUUGGUUCAGCUACACCCCACCUCCCUUCAGCCACAUGCUUCCCUCAAAGGUGUUCCCAGAUCCAGAGAGUAGAUCCUGAGUGGUCUAAGCCAAGAGUGGUCCCUCCCACCUCUGUUAGGAAUGCACACAGGACACGAAACUAGGUAAUGAGACAGAAGUCAGCUGGGAGAGCCUAAGGAUGCAGAGGAACAGAUGGCUCCCGUGGUCCCCUGGACAUUGUCCUAUCUCUGUCCUGACUGGAAACCUGGACCUGCUCUGCCAUUCUGGGCAUCUGAGAGUCAGGCUUCAUUGAGCAAAAUCAUCCCAUGAUACAACCAGGAACCAUGCCUCUGAAAUUACUCAGGAACAAAUAGGAACCAAAACUCUAGAAUCAGAUUCAAACAUCUAAACACCAAUGAAACACAGAGAAGCCUUGGUCAGGAGCUAGGAAGGCAAAAAAAAAAAAAUUUUUUAAUAAAAAUAAAAAUAAAAAUAAGCUCUAAAGCCAAGUGUCAGGGAAUUGAAAAGAGCUAGAGAUUUUGGCAGGGCUUAGGACAGGCUGGGCUGAAAUAACCAAGCAGAGAUAAAGUGAGCUAGAACUAGGAAGGAACAUUUGGAGACAAUAAUCUUUUCUGACCAGCAAACUCAAAGAGCUGCGCUUCACAGGAUACCUGAGGCGAUUCUAGGGUCAGCAAAAGGUUGUUUCUGAACUAUUAAACACAUUUUCUUUUUUAAGAGAAAUACUCACAUUGACAGGGCAAGUCAUUCCAAAACCAGACUCAAUACAGCUAUUAUUCAGAUUCACCUUGUCAGUGUGAAAAUAUGGGUUGAAAGGGACUUUGCUACUUGAAAUUAAGUGUGAUCACACUCGGCAGCCUAGGGAAGCACUCCAAUCCAAACCGCAAUUAUGAGAGGCUGGGCGCCACAGGGAGUGGGGAGUAGCAUUCAGAAAAAGAGAAGGGGUUCCUUCUCUGGGAUUUUCCCUGUUUGCAGCCUGAAUCCCACGUGAAUGUUCUCUCUCUUCCGUCAUUCUCUGUUCCUGCGUUCCCGCAUCCUCUUCUCACUUCUCCUACACAGUUACCUCUUCCUUGGAGAGAGUAUCUGGACCCUUGGGUGACAGUCAUAUGUGGCUUCACAAGCUGCUGGAAUUAACUAAAACUCAUUCUUUCCCAAUAAAUCUCCCCCGAGCCGACACACAGCAGCUGCAAAUUCCCAGCAUGGGCCUGGACAAAAUACUAAGAAAAACUGGCUAUGUUCCUGAAUCUUGCUUAUCGUGGGUCCCCAAGAAUCCUGGACACUGACAUCAAGAUAUUCCAAGAAGAGUUGUGCUUUUCCAAGCUCGAUCUUUACUUAACCUACCUUGAAGAUUCAGCACUGUAAUUUCCCAGAAGUGUGGGCUGGGCUUGCUUUGAGAAAAGGUGAAAUAGACAAGACACAGAGUUCAGAAAAUAGUGAUUAAAUACAAACAGCGCCAGCUAUUAGGUAAGAGUUAAGGGCAGGAAAUGCAAAUAAAAUUGCCAAGGGUUAUUUAGGUAGUGGCCACUCAGAAGGAGAGGUAAUAAUUGGUUGCAAAAUGGUUGCUACAGACGUCUUUCCUGAUUUAAUGAAUUUGUGAAGGUUUGCUUCUUUUUCCAGCUUUCAUUUCAUUCAUGGUGGGGGAUGGCUGGGGGAUGGAGGGGAUAUGGAAAGUUGAGCACAAGUGCACAAAGUAUUUACUGGCUAAAAAUGCCUAUGCUUCUGCCAAGAUUGUGUUUAUUUGUUAAAAAUAUACUUCAUUGUGUCGUUACAAAACUAAAUCUGUCCCCAGCCCCCAUGGAGACAGGGUGAUUGGGUUUCAGGGUGAGGUGCCAGCUACUGCUUUCGGGGGCAUUAAUGUGCCAGCUGCUCCUCCAGCAUUCAUUUUAUUUCCAGUCCCUAGGCUGGUUUUACACUUUGUGUUUUUUUGUAAGGAAAUCAGGAUUAGAGAGCCUUUUGUCAGUGACGGGGAGGGGAAGAGAAGUAUCCCCUUUGAGCUCCAUAUACAGGGCAGCCUAACGGGCAAGGCUCAAAGCUUUGAUUUAGUUCUCAUUCACUAACAUUUUGAAAAAGAAAAGAUCCACCGCAUCAAGCUGCUCUGUUGGAAGCUUGUAAGGCAAUAGAUUUGAGGACUGGAGUUUUCAGAAUGCAAUCUGCAGUCACCAGGCCAGGGUUACCUUUAAGCUCCAUGCAGAUUAAACAUUCCCGGCCAGGCCAAGAGACAUCUAUAGAAAACAACCCCUCAAAAUCCUACAGCAAAAGGCAUUAUUGGGUGGUCCUGUCUAAGGGCUGAAUAGGGUGUGUGUAUUCCUACUUGAUUUUUAUGAUGUUAAUUCUUUGUACCCACUUGGAAAUGCCAGACUGCUACUAGGGUCCAAAGUCCCCUCAUUGGCCAGCUCGUCCCAGUGCAGUGAUCAGUGACCAGCUGGAAGUACUCCAGCCAGAGUCUCCUCUGCUGAGCAAAUCACCCAGCCUCCAAAAGAAAGAAAAAGAGGCCAUGUUUAGUGAGCAACCCCUCUUAAAAUUGAAUUGCUACACACACACACACACACACACACACACACAUCAUGCAAUUUUUUGUUGGUUGUUUGAGACAGGAAGAAAAUUACUAACAAAAUUCCCUCAAUGAACACUUCCUUCUUUCUUUCUUUUCUUUUUUUGACAGAGUCCUGCUCUGUCACCCAGGCUAAAGUACAGUGGCAGAAUCACAGCUCACUGCAACCUCUGCCUCCCAGGCUCAAGCGAUCCUCCCACCUCAGCCUCCUGAGUAGCUGGGACUACAAGCACAUAGCACCCUCCCCAGCUAAUUUUUAUAUUUUUUGUGGACGUGGGGUUUCAGUGUGUUGUCCAGGCUGGUUUUGAACUCCUGGACAAUCUGCCCACCUCGGCCUCUCAAAGUGCUGGGAUUACAGGCAUGAGCCACCGCACCUGGCCCCUCUCUUUUAUUUUUAAGGGCAGAAAAAGACCAAGUGAAAAAGGAGCCUCCCUGAUCCUCCUCCUCUUUCCCCUUGCAGCCCAGCAUCAAAACACUCAUUCUUAGGCUAGAGCAGGGGUGGAAAAGUGCAGGAACAUUAGGCCUUGUCUGUGUAUUGGCUCCUUAGGAGCUAUUGUUGUUCAGCAGCUGUUCCUCUUGCUUCCUAGGAAGCCCUGCCUGCAAGUGGGCUGGGGAACCCGUGUGACACUGGCAGCUGGGGGAAGUGGGGAGGAACAUGGAAUCUUUUUUGCACCUCGAGAAAUAUGGGCUUUGUUUCUCAAAAAAGAGCAGAGAUCCUGUUUCUGGGUAGCUGUUAUCAGAAAUGGUUUUAAUAAAUACCGUCAAAGAGUGAGAGUAAGAGUGAGCGUGUGUGUGUGUGUGUGUGUGUGUGUGUGUUUCAGGGGCAGAGGAUAAAAGAGAAAGAGAAGAUAAACCCACAAUAUACUCAACCUUUAAUCCUGUUUUUUUUUUUUAAGUAGGAAAAGCUGAAAAAUUUCAGCCAAAUGAAAAGCAUAAAGUGGUUGAGAAAGGCUUUAUGACUAAGAGAGGACUGCAAUGGAAAAUACGUAAAAAGAGAAGUUAAACCAGCUGGCUUAUUUAAUUUUGACUCCCCACUCCCCCUUUCACUUUUUUUUUUACCUUCAGCUUAAACUAGGGAAAAAUGUACUGUGUAAAUAUUCAGUGUUUUUCUUAGUUUUUAGCCCUAACAAAAUUUUUUAUAGGGCUUAGUUUAGUGAAUCUCCAGAGACUGGGUGUGAACGUAACUUUUCACCCCUGGGUCACAGGUCACUUCCUGCUUCUUCUUGUAAGUUAAAGUUCUCACUAUUCCAUGGGUCUGCUGUACCCAGAAGUGGGGGUAGGGAUGAGGGAUGGGAGAGUGGAGUGGGGGAUGGGGGGAAACGCAAUGCCUAUUCAUUUCUCACAUUAUUCUAUUGUUAGGAACAUUUCUCCUCCCAUACCCAAGAGCUAAAUGUCAAAGUUCUAUUCCAAAGUACGUGAAUAAAUUAAUACAUUCCAAGUUUAUUAAUGUAUUCAUGCAUUCAAUAAACAUCAUCGAAGCACUGUCAAUAUACUAGGCCUUGUGUUAAGUGUGAGGAAAACAAAGAUAACUAAAAUAUAUUCCCUGCCUUAUACAACUUCAAACAAACAGGAGAGAGAUUCAAGAACGAUAAUUACAGCGAUUAUAGUAAGUACUGUGAUAAAAAAGAACAAGAAACAUACAACUCUGCCUACUAGGAAGGGCAACGAAGGCUUCCAGGAGGUGAGGAUAUUGAAAUUGUUUUUUGAGAGCUAAGUAGGAACAACCAAAAGGCCAGGAAGAGGAAUGGCAUUUCAGACAAAGGGAGUGGCCAUGGAAAAGCCUUGUUUUCACUUUGGGUAACUGGAGCAGUCUGCAGUGUUUUAUGCUGACCAGGGUUCUGGGAACCUGGGACAAAAAAAAAAAAUGGGUGGGAUAGGAUAGACUUGGCCCAUGAAGUUAAGAAUUGAAACCAAGAAUCUCCAAAACGCAACAUCCAGGGAUAAAAAUAUACGUAAUUCCUAGUGGAAAAUAACACCUACACAUCAUCCUAAAGGCACCAAGUAAAAAGAAAAUAAAAUGCAGCAACUGGAGGCAGCACAAGUUUGGAGCUGUGAGGAGGGAAGUGUGGGGCUGUCAGGGAGAAGUCCUGGCACAGAGCUGUGAGGGACUUUUAGAGGCCCGUCUGUGGUGGGGCACUGCAGUGUUCAAGACCCAGAACCUGUUCAGGCAAGUGUGGAAGCAAGAGGGCGCAUACCACAGUCUGGGACUGACAGUCCUGACAAACUCCCUGACAAUUGAAAAAGAAGGUAGAGAAGGGGGAAUCAGGGGCUCCAUCCUCAGGAGCCUUGAACAUUGUCUUCCUAGCUGGGAUUUCCCAAGGGUAGCAUAGGUACCGCUGGUAGGAACCAAUGUGUCAUUACACGGUACACAAACAAUGUUUUAAAGACUUGUAGUAGUUAUGUACUGAUUUUCUAGUUUUACACAAACUAGAAAAAAAAUGGUAACUAACACACAAAAUCCACAAUUACUCAGAUAUAAAGACUGCUUAAGAGGAAGCUAACAUAAAAGCACCAUGGUGAGUUGAUCUUUUUAAAAAAUAAAACUAUACCAAAAGAGGUGCUACACAAAUAUAUCAAAAAUUGAGAAGGUGGUCUAUAAAUGACUGAAAUUUGAAAACAGUGGCAGUAGGCAGUGGGGAAUCUCUGAAAAGUUAAAGCAUUGGACUCUGUUGUUCUUUUGGGGUGGGGAAGACUAAAGACACUGAUUAAGGGAGCUUGUAUUUAUUGUCCAGAACCACAGCAGACUCUGCAUAGUUUUCAGGUUCAUAUUUCAAGAUAAAUUCCAAUUUCAAUCCUGACAUAUUUGGACAAGCCUUCAAGAAUCUCUUCUUACUAAUUUGAAAUGUCCCUAUCUUUAUUUUCAUCUUAAGUAACUUAGUGCAUUUACAUGAAUAAUUUUAUUAGAAAUGUGCAGUGCUCAAAAUGACUUUUAUGGUGCAGAAGAAUAGGGUAAAGAGCUAUUGAAUGUUAGGUAAAUCUUUGUAACGAUUUGGUGAAUAUGAUUUACAUAGACUCCAGCUUCUCAUUUGGUGCUUAGGUAUGGUACAUCAUCAAUUAACUAUGUUUCUUAUUUUCUAUAUUUCAUGAUGAUUUGCCAUCUUGGGGCUUUGCAAACCAGGGAUGGACUGCCCCUCCCAGGGUUGGCUAAUUCCUGGAAAUACUAAACAACUUGGCUUAGAACACACCUUUCAUAUGCAAGACAACCAAUCCAGGCUCCAUAUCCUCAUCCCAUCCUUUUAUCAGUCUCCUCCAGUACAGAACAUUAUCGUCCUGCUUUAAGUCACCCAGAGCCAGGUACUGGACAAUUAGAGACUAGUCUUGUAGCUCAGAGCCUGUCCAAAGGGUCCACGCUCUUCAAUCUGCUUACCCUGCCUCCCCCAUUCCUUCCCAUAAAACCCUAAAUAAAGGCUGAUGCCCACUCUUUCCCCUCAAUCUUUCUUCCCUCAAAGCAAUCCUGGUGCUUCCCCCUGUGCCCCAUUCUCUUGGGAACUAUAAGCAAUAAACUCUUCUUGGAAAGGAAGCUAUGUGUCUGUCAUGUUAUAAUACCUACUUAAAACAGAAAUCCUAGGUAUAGUUUAAAACAUAUCAAGUAAACUCAAUUUUUAAAACUCUGUUAGAUAAAUGAAUGAAUGAAUAUCUUCACUCACUUAAAACAUGUCUCUAUAUAUGACUUUAUUAAAAGUGUUCUUAUGUGGUUUAAAGCUGUUUAAAUUAGCUAUCUAUGGUCAUCAUUCUUUUGUGCAACCACACUCAGAAUGUGUGAGAAAUUUGGGCUCAGAGUAAAUUACACAUUGCAAACAAUACAAAGAAACCAUGUCCUCCUUGUUUUCAGGAAGACAUCCAAAGAGGAAUUUUCACUGGCCAGUAUACCCAUUUUGCUGUCUUCAUGUGUGAGAUAUUAUUUUAGUAUGUCAGGGUGGUUAACUGCUCUAACAAAUAACCGUAAGUUUCAAUUGCGUAAGAUAAUAAAAUUUACCUCUUAAUCCUAAAAUCCAGUGCAGGUGUUCAUAGUUGGACAGCUCUCCUGGCUGCCUGUAUGACUCAGGAAUCAAUAAUUCUUUCAUCUUGUGAUGCUGCCUUUUUUUUUUUUUUUUUUUGAGAUGGAGUUUUGCUCUUGUUACCCAGGCUGGAGUGCAAUGGUGCGAUCUCAGCUCACCGCAACCUCCGCCUCCUGGGUUCAGGCAAUUCUCCUGUCUCAGCCUCCUGAGUAGCUGGGAUUACAGGCACGCGCCACUGUGCCCAGCUAAUUUUUUGUAUUUUUAGUAGAGACAGGGUUUCACCAUGUUGACCAGUAUGGUCUCGAUCUCUGGACCUCGUGAUCCACCCUCCUCGGCCUCCCAAUGUGCUGGGAUUACAGGCGUGAGCCACCGUGCCCGGCUAUGCUGCCAUUUUUAAAACGAGGUAUCCAAGGUCAGUAGAGAAGGUGGCAAAAUUAUGGAAAAAGUCAUAUCAGAUAUAUACCCAACUUUACAUGCAAAUACCAAUCAAAAUAUUUGCAUAUGUUCUAUUGGUUCAGAAGUGGUCACAUGACCUUCAGCAGAUGCACAAGGACCAGAAAAUAUAGUCUCUGGCUGCGCUGCACUUACCAGCAACCACUCAUCCUGAGGAAACAGAAGCCCAAACCUUUGGAAGUCAGCUAACCUUUUCCACCAGUUUAAGAUGUUUUACCCAGAACUAUAUUCUGGUAAUGGAGCAACAAUAAUUGGUCAAGUAAUGAUUAAAUCAUUGGUUCUUAACUUUCAAAGGACCAUGAAUCCAAUAAAAAUGUACAGACCUCCUUCCUAGAAAAACACAUAAACAUAAGCACUCACAAUCUUCAUGGAAUUUCAGGGGCUUCAUGAAUUCUCUGAAGCCCAUCUGUUAUGAUCAUUAGAGAGUCAUAGACCUAUACUCUUGGUGCAGGUAAAAUUAUUUAUUUCAGAGAUUUGUUUUGAAUAGGCUUACAAAUCAUAAACCAUCAGCCAAUUUAAAUCUGAUUUUUUUAAGAAUCUGCUGAUGGAUUGGGGUCCAAGUUUUAAAAAUUAAUUGCUAGAAUGAAUAAGAUCCAGAAUAUCGGCUGUGCGCCAUCCAACUUUCAGAUGCCAAUUUUGUACUGAGCAGAAAUCCUUAUUGUCAUUACUGAAAAAGACUUGUUGGUAUCCUGCUAUCCACUUGCUGCUCUCCAAUCCAUUUCACAUGAUAGCAAGAGUGACAUCUAAAAAUUCAAAUUUUUUCUUGUCAUUCUCUUCUAAAAAUCUUUCAGUGAAUAAAGACCCAAACCUUUGACAUGGUGUACAAGGCCUUGAGUACACUAACACUACCUGCUUUUCACAUUGUGUGCCCCUUUGCUUUUUAUGCUGCUACCCAACUGGCCUCUUUCCCUUCCUCACACUUCAGGGUCUCUGAUCAUGCCUUUUGCCUCCAUGGAAUCGUCUUCCCUUUAUUCUUUCAUGUAGUUAGCUACCACUCUUCCUGGAGAUCUCAGCUCAACUGUCAUUUUCUCAGAGAAGUCUUUACAGAGACACAAAAGAAGUCCGAUCUCUUCUAUGUUCUUAGAGUGAUGUAAGUUUUUCUGCUGGUGUUGAUCAUGGUUUAUACCAAUAUUUUUGUGUGAUUAUUUAAUUUGCCUGGGUUACUGUCACUAAAAGGUAAGCUCCUUGAGGGCAGAAACAUUCAGCACCCAGUGACACAGUCAGCACCUGGCUUACUGUGUAGAAUAUAAUGGCACUCAAUAUUUUGUUGAGCGAAUGAAUGAAUGUUGCCCAUGCUUUCCACUUUUUCUUGGAGAGAGGGAAGGUAAGUGAUAAAGGGUCUUAAAACCAAAUUAUCUUCUCAUUCUGAGAAGUGAAUAGAAGAACCAAGUCAGAGUUUGGCAUAAUUUUAAAGAACUUCACAGUGAGGCAAUGACUUUUACUCUACUCCAUUGUAACUUCUGCUCUUAGAUAACUUCCAAACCAAUAAAAGAAAAAAACAGCAAAGUCUGUGUUCAUCAUUUCAUAUCGGCACAAGAUGAACAGCCCAUUGAUGGAGUAGGGACAGUUGAGGGGGAUUGUCAUAAACAGACAAUUCUUUCAAUUGUAGGCAAUAUGCUAUUUAUUAGUAAGUAGUAUACUAGUGAGCCAAUCCAGGAAGGCUUCCUGGAAAAGACAGUCUUUGGGUUAUAUAUAAUCUGAAGGUCUCUUCAUGACACCUCUUUUUUGAAUUAUAUUUGAUACCCUGAGUACCAACAAAAUAUUUUGCCCACAAAUCUUGCUCAUCAGCUUUUCUGUUUUGUUGUCACAAAGAUAAAGCUAUAAAUUGUGAGAAAGACUGGCAAGACUCGGGUCAAGCUGGCAUUGUAGUCCUCCAGCAGAGAACAAGAUAUUAAACAAUUCUGUUUCACACUUCCUCUGAUAGAGUGUAUUAUUUUUCAAAAUAUCCACUGUCUCCCCAUGUAGGAGAAUUUUAUCCUUUUGUCAGUCAGCCAUGUGAUUUCAUUUGGCAAAUGACAUGGGAGUAGAAGUGACAUAUCCAGAAGAUUUGAGAGCCAUGGUGAGAUUCCAUCAUUUCCUUUCCGACACAAGGCCCACCACAUCCCCAGAUGGAGGUGUUCUAUCAGUCUGGAUCCCAAUGUGAAAAGGAUGAGGGACAGUCACAACUGACUGACAGCAGUCAUGGAAGAUGAGCAAAAUAUUAGCUUUACUCUUACAAGGCACUGAGAUUUGAGAGUCACUUGUUCUUUCAGCAUAGCCCGGCAAAAGAUGACUGACACACUUUUCAUCACAAAAACUGUAUCUAAUUGAACUCAAACUCUGAACUGUACACUGAAUGAAAAAAUGGUCUGUUCCAAUUGAAUAGGUCAUCCCUCAUUUUUAUAUAAGUGCACAGCUUCAGGAAGGCACAAAUGCAGUCAUGAAGGGAGAAAGUGGAGUUCUCAACCAUUGAAGUCAGUGACCUAACUUCUGCAUUCACCGACAUGAAACAUGCUGAAGUCUGUUUGCCUUGUAGUUCUCUGCUGGAUGUGCCAAGAGGGCUCUAUUUUAGAGAAGGAAAACUAACAAUAGAUUCCUGCCAACUAAAAGGGGAUUUCCUUUCCUGGGAAGAAAAAAAUAAAUGGAAAAAAAAUCUUUAUCUGGUGAUUUAUACUAAAACAAGAAUAGUCAGAGCUCAUCAUCAUAUCAUUUUUAAUAGUAAUGUCUCAUAGAGAAAUAUAAAGAAACUUAGUAAAGACAGAAAUAGUUUUUACAGACCAUUUGCCAAGCAUAUAAAGUUGAAUUCACAACAUUCCUUCCUCCUCCAGUCUACCUUAUCCACUCCUGUUUCAUUUCCAUGUUUUGUCUUUUUUCCUUGUCCUUGCCCCAAAUCUGCUCAUGGUCAUUUUGGAAGAUGCAGAGAUGAUAAAUAUGGGUAUAAUAAAUAGAUAUAUCCUUUUAUCUAUAUUUAUAAAUAUAUUUUUAUAUUUUCAAAGCAAAAUAUAAAUUAAACCUACACUUGUUUCUAGGAGUUCAGUCCACACCUCUACAAUAUUAAAAGAAUGUGCUUAACUGAAAACCUCUAAAGCUUGAAAAAUUCUCUGAAAGCCACUUGAAAUUUGAGGAGUUUUGACACUUACUUUUAAGGAUACCAAAGUGCAUUCCUAUUUCCCCCAGGGUUAGCUGGCCAUGAACAACUGCAAUUCAGUUUCAUAAGCUUUCUUUGAUGCUUGCUAGGACCAUAAAUUCAACCUUCACAUACAAUGUGCAGUUUAAGAGUAUGAAUGAUCUUACUAAAGAGCUUUUUUGCUAUGAGCUUUCUAUUCCAAGGUGAAUCCCAGUUUAACACCCCCUCCUGCCCCAAUAUUCUUGAAUUUGAAUUGUGGUGUACAGUACCAAGGAUUACUCCAUAUUUUCAGGCAAGAUUGCCAUCCUCCUAAAUGUCAGUCUAAAAUAUUCAAUGCAAAGUGUAUGUGCAAAGCUAGCUUUACUGUUUAAUCACUAAAGUUACCUUUGGGAAACUGCAUAUUGAUACACAAUACAGAAACCUCAUGCUCAGUCACAUUUAAACCAGAAGUAGGAGCAGUUAGAUUUAUGUACCAUGAUGUCAGAAUUUGCAAAGGUUUUCUGAUAAUCUGAAGAGUAAUAUUGAGUUACUUUCAGCAACUAUUUUACUUUAUUUUUGUAGCUUUGUAAUAUAGUAAAAAAGCCCUGAGGGAGGAGUUAGGAACUUAGAGAUUGCUAAAACGGUUUUAUAUACAACAUUUUUGAAACCUAACAAAAAGUAUAAACAGUUUGCAAUGUCAUAACCAUGAAUAUAAUGAAUGACUUUUGUUCUGAAUUGCCCUAGUCCAGUGUAAAAUGUUUAUAAUUAGGUUGAUAU